AAAAGCGGCCGUGCAUGUUUCGAGCAUCAUUCAGAUACCGAUACGCAAACGUGUGCAUCUCAAGUCGUGAACAAUGUCGAAAAUUGUUUUAUUGUUGGUGUUGUUGUGUGGUGUGAUGUGUUGCGGGAUGCACAUCCACCCAAGGGGCGCAGUUCAUACGGAAGGCGAAAUGACGCAUGAUGAAAUGAGAGAGCCGGUCACCUCGGAUGAUGGAAUACCCAUUGACGUUCUUCGUAAUCUAAAGCCGACGCGGUUCGUUCCGAUAAACAGCGUGCUGUUUUUCAAGUCUUAUCCACCCUGCGAACCUGGAUUUGAAAGGGAUCUAAUUGGAGUUUGCAGAGAAGUAUGGGACUGAUAAGAAGUCUCUAUAAGCAAUAUCAACGUCUCGAGUUAAAAACUAUGAUAAUAUAGGUUUUCAAAAGCCUUCUACGUGAGAUAAUCAGACUGUUAAAAAUUAUUGGAUAUUAAUAUGUCUAUUUCGGUAUUAUAUUUAUUCGAUAGUAAAAAGUUAUUUAAUGAUGUGAACUUAUAUAAAGGAAUAAGAUAUAUUUGUUAACAACAAAAUUUUAUCUCAACAGCGUUUUGGACAAAGCAUAUCCUUCGUAUUUGUAAUAUUAUAAUGUGAUUUAAAAUUGUGCAGUGAUAUUAGCGUAAGACCCACUUUUAAUUGUAUAAGCUUAGUGUGAAUGUUAGCCAGUGUUUCAUUUUAUGUAAAGAAGAGUGAGAGUUUUAUUUAUAAGGGAUAUUUAUAAGUUACACAAAAUAAACGUGAACUCAUUGCUGA